GCCUGGUUGGUCUAGUAGCUAUGAUCCCCGCUUUGGGUUCUUUGAACACAAAAGUUUGCGGGGGGUCCUGGGUUCAAAUCCCAGACCGGGCC